CUCUAGCUGGUCUUGCAGCUAGGACUCCUGGUUUUCAUCCAGGCUGCCCAGGUUCAAUUCCUGAGCAGAAAA
rfam:Sus scrofa isolate TJ Tabasco breed Duroc chromosome 14, whole genome shotgun sequence.